CCCACCCACUCCUUCCCACUUCUCUGCCCUGGCAUUUCCCUACAUUGGGGCAUCGAGCCUUCACAGGACCAAGGACCUCUCUUCCCACUGAUGUCUGACAAGGCCAUCCUCUGCUACAUAUGGGGCUGGAGCCAUGGUUCUCUCCAUGUGUACUCUUUGGAUGGUGGUUUAGUCCCUGGGAGUUCUUGUGGGGGUGGGGGAGAGCCUGGUUGAUUGAUAUUGUUGUUCUUCCUAUGGGGUUGCAAACCCCUUCAGCUCCUUCAGUUCUUUCUCUAACUCCUCCAUUGGGGACCCCAUUCUCAGUCCAGUGGUUGGCUGUGAGCAUCCACCUCUGUAUUUGUCAGGCUCUGGCAGAGCCUCUCAGGAGACAGCUAUAUCAGGCUCCUGUCAGCAUGUACUUCUUGGUGUCUGCAAUAGUGUCUGGGUUUGGUUACUGUAUAUGGGAUGGACCCCCAGGAGGGGCAGUCUCUGGAUGGCCUUUCCUUCAGUCUCCAUACUUUGUCUCCAUAUUUCCUCCCAUGAGUAUUUUGUUCCCCUUUCUAAGAAGGAAUGAAGCAUCCAUGUUUUGGUCUUCCUUCUUCUUGAGCUUCAUGUGGUCUGUGAAUUGUAUCUUGGAUAUUCCAAGCUUUGGGGCUAAUAUCCACUUACCAGUGAGUGCAUACCGUGUGUGGCGAAUUCUAAGUUUAAAGCAUUAGCAUAAUCAUAGCAACAUCUAUGAUGUUGAGAUUAGGGGAAUUGGCAAGAGCAACAUUUUACCAACAGCUAAGAGGAGAACUUUGGAUACUAGUAGCUCAGGUCAAGAACUGAAUCUUAUUUUAUUGGGAAAAAAAUGAGUAGAAGGGCCACACUGUAUCCGAGGGGCUGGCCCCCUGAAACCCCUUCUUGCUCUGUAACUGUGGACAAGUCAUUAUGAUUCUUUAUCUUUGUUUCUUCUUAGAAAAAAAAUAGGAAAACUUCCUUUGGUUUGAAAGGACCACACACGCUGUGUUUAUCGGUAUUCCAUAAUCCACGCAGUGUAAUAUCUACCUUUUUAAUCGAUAAAAAAGGUAUCUGGAUGGAAUUUGCCCACAGAAUGGGUCUCCUGUAGUGCAAAUUGAACCUCAACUAAGGCUGGCCUCGAACUCUUGAUCCUCCUGCUUCUACCACCAUGGAUGCCUGAAAACAUCUGUCCCACUGUGCCUGGCUUAAAGUCGUGAGUUUUUGGAGAGUUCCCUCUGUCAUCGUUUGAUCUUCCAUUGCUCCGAAGAGACACCAUGACCAAGGCAACUCUUAGAAAGGACCCCGUCUAAUUGGAGCUGUCUUAUUGGCUCAGAGGUUCAGUCCAAUAUCAUCAAAAGCAGAAGCAUGGCAGCAUCCAGGCAGACAUGGUGCUAGGGUUGCUGAGAGUUCUACAUCUCGUUCCAGAGGCAAACAGAAGACUGACUUCCAGGCAGCUCGGAGGAGGGUCUCAAAGCCCACCCCCACAGUGACACACUUCCUCCAACAGGGCCACAACUCCUAAUAGCGCCACUUCCUGGGCUAAACCACCAUGCCCUCCCUCCCCUCCUCCCGGUCCCUCCUCCUUCACACCUCCUCCUCUGUUUUUUUGUUUGUUAUGGUUCAGAGGCCCCCUGAGUAGCCAGGACUGCAGGCCGGUUCAGCAUGAUUACCUGCUGUCUUUUUAAUAUAAGAUGAUUGUACU